rnacentral:tRNA from 1 species
GCCUGGGUGGCUCAGUCGGUUGAGCAUCCGACUUUGGCUCAGGUCAUGAUCUCGUGGUCCGUGGGUUCGAGCCCCACGUCGGGCU